UGCCUGCCUGUCUGCCCACGAGCCUGCUCAGACAGGAUGAGAGGAAGUGGGCUCAUCAAUGUUUGCUUGUUUCGUUGUUCCACACGUGAGAUCCCCAGAGGCCAACCUAAAAAGCCGGCUUUAGUUACGAUGACUACAGUUCCCAUAUGCGCAACUCUGCCCUUGGCUCAAGGAUUCCGUGAUGUUUAUUUUGGUUUUCUAAGCGAGAGGCUCCGAGCCUUCCAACCUCUGACUGGCUGGUCCUGUGAGACCCCUCGAUCAGGGAUGCUGCUGCAAGUGGUCGUGGCAGUUGCUGACACCUCUGCGAAAGCCGUGGAGACCGUGAAGAAGCAGCAAGGCGAGCAGAUCUGCUGGGGUGGCAGCAGCUCCGUCAUGAGUCUAGCUACCAAGAUGAAUGAACUAAUGGAGAAACAGAAAGUCUUCAGUGAUGGCCUACGCCAAAGCACAGGAUAGGGGCGGGCAGGAAGCCCUCUCCCAAGAUCGAGUUGGCUGAGGAUGGAUGAUUGUGGCAGCAGAAGCCGUUGCAGCCCCACGUUGUGCUCUA
rnacentral:sRNA from 1 species